GGAAGGAUCAUUAUUGAAAUAAACCUGAUGGGUUGCUGCUGGUUCUCUAGGGAGCAUGUGCACACUUGUCAUCUUUAUAUCUCCACCUGUGCACCUUUUGUAGACCUGGAUAUCUUUCUAAAUGCCUGCCAUUUAGGUAUGAGGAUUGACUUUCUGCCUUUCCUUACAUUUUCAGGUCUAUGUUUCUUCAUAUACCCCAAUGUAUGUUAUAGAAUGUAAUAAACAGGCCCUUGUGCCUAUAAACCUAUACAACUUUCAGCAACGGAUCUCUUGGCUCUCGCAUCGAUGAAGAACGCAGCGAAAUGCGAUAAGUAAUGUGAAUUGCAGAAUUCAGUGAAUCAUCGAAUCUUUGAACGCACCUUGCGCUCCUUGGUAUUCCGAGGAGCAUGCCUGUUUGAGUGUCAUUAAUAUAUCAACCUCCUCAGCUUUUGCUUGUCGAGUGUUGGAUGUGGGGGUAUCUUUUGCUGGUCUCUCUUUUUGAGGUCGGCUCCCCUGAAAUACAUUAGCGGAACAAUGUGUUGACCGUUCAUUGGUGUGAUAACUAUCUACGCUAUUGACGUGAAGCAGGUUCAGCUUCUAACUGUCCAUUAAAUUAGACAAAUUUUCAUUAAUGUGACCUCAAAUCAGGUAGGACUACCCGCUGAACUUAAGCAUAUCAAUAAGCGGAGGAAAAGAAACUAACAAGGAUUCCCCUAGUAACUGCGAGUGAAGCGGGAAAAGCUCAAAUUUAAAAUCUGGCGGUCUUUGGCUGUCCGAGUUGUAAUCUAGAGAAGUGUUAUCCGCGCUGGACCGUGUACAAGUCUCCUGGAAUGGAGCGUCAUAGAGGGUGAGAAUCCCGUCUUUGACACGGACUGCCAGGGCUUUGUGAUGCGCUCUCAAAG
rnacentral:rRNA from 1 species